UGCAUCGGCCGGGAAUCGAACCCGGGCCGCCCGCGUGGGAGGCGAGCAUUCUACCACUAAGCCACCGAUGC
rnacentral:tRNA from 1 species